UGAACGCUGACAGAAUGCUUACCACAUGCAAGUCACCUUGAACUUCGGUUUGGGUGGCGGACGGGUGAGUAACGCGUAAAGAACUUGCCUCACAGCUAGGGACAACAUUUGGAAACGAAUGCUAAUACCUGAUAUUAUGAUUAUAUGGCAUCGUAUAAUUAUGAAAGCUAUAUGCGCUGUGAGAGAGCUUUGCGUCCCAUUAGCUAGUUGGAGAGGUAACAGCUCACCAAGGCGAUGAUGGGUAGCCGGCCUGAGAGGGUGAUCGGCCACAAGGGGACUGAGACACGGCCCUUACUCCUACGGGAGGCAGCAGUGGGGAAUAUUGGACAAUGGACCGAGAGUCUGAUCCAGCAAUUCUGUGUGCACGAUGAAGUUUUUCGGAAUGUAAAGUGCUUUCAGUUGGGAAGAAAAAAAUGACGGUACCAACAGAAGAAGUGACGGCUAAAUACGUG
rnacentral:rRNA from 1 species